GAUGAAGAACGUAGUGAAAUGCGAUAAGUAAUGUGAAUUGCAGAAUUCAGUGAAUCAUCGAAUCUUUGAACGCACAUUGCGCCCGCCAGUAUUCUGGCGGGCAUGCCUGUUCGAGCGUCAUUUCAACCAUCAAGCCCCCGGCUUGUGUUGGGGACCUGCGGCUGCCGCAGGCCCUGAAAAGCAGUGGCGGGCUCGCUGUCACACCGAGCGUAGUAGCAUACAUCUCGCUCUGGGCGUGCUGCGGGUUCCGGCCGUUACACCACCUUCAUAACCCAAGGUUGACCUCGGAUCAGGUAGGAAGACCCGCUGAACUUAAGCAUAUCAAUAAGCGGAGGA
rnacentral:misc_RNA from 1 species